rfam:Salmo salar isolate Sally breed double haploid chromosome ssa17, whole genome shotgun sequence.
UGCAUUCACUACUGUAAGUUGCUCUGGAUAAGAGUGUCUGCUAAAUAAUGUAAA